UGAUACAAAAAUAGCUUAAAUGUAUGCAUAAAUAAAUUGCCUAGAUAAACUGUGUAUAGUUGAGUUCUAUUAGACUGCUACAUGUCCAUGUACAUGUUAUUUCCCAGCAAUAUCAUUAUCUAUCACGUACUACUUGCACAUUAUGUCACUUAUAAAAUGUAAAUUGUGCCCUAACCUUUCACUCUGACAUUUCAGCAUUAACUGGUACUUUAAUAUGCCAUUAAAACUGGCAGGAAAGAGGCUUACUAGUGUUUCUCCUAAAAGCCAUAACAUGGAUCACAGGAUAAACACUCCUGCCAUUCACCGCCAGGAGAUCCGGUGGAUCCUGUUGAGUGGACAGUGGGUGGAGAAAUGGAGAAACCAACACAGAACACACUCAGAAACAAGCACAUCUCAUACAACAGGAAAAAAAGUACCUCACACCUCAGUUGGAUUUAAUUGAGCGCUAAAUCCUGCUGCUUCUUCAAAUUCCUUUUGAGGACUGCAGAGGACUGUUUUCUUGUAACGAGGCCAGAAGGAGAGACAAUAGCAAAGCUAUCUAUGCCAGACUUCUGCAAAUGAAACGGCUGAUGCUGCUUAAUGCUCUGCACACAUCACUGGACCAUCCUGAAAAGUGUACAGUGGUGUGUGUGGUAUGUCUUCUGGAGCCGGAUCCAACAUGUGAGCAAUGCUAUGCAUGUGGGUAGGAAGAUUGGAGUGCUGCAAUCUUCCAAAGCUUCUCAAAUAAGGAUGUGACAGAACAAUGUGAGGGCUUUAGUAUGACACACUGAACUAUAAAGGCUGUGACACACCAAGCCGACAUCAAAGAAUUAGCGGUGACUAAAGCUGACUGCAUUGUUGCCUGAUGUCGCCUGUGUCUGGGUCAAAAAAUUGCUCUUGAACACACCGCAAAGACUACAGCUAACGGCCAACUAGCACUUACAAUUUAUACCUGCAUGAGAGGAAAUAACUUUCCAUACCAGCAGGCUGCAGUAGUCUGAAUUCAUCAUUCAAAAAGGGAAACUGGAGCUAGAACUGCAGAUAUACAUAGUGUAAACUUGCUUGCCAUUUUGAAUAUGAAUAAUGUUGAUCUAUUUCUUCAUUAGGCAACCAUGUCAUUAUGAAAAUAUUUGCAUACUGGAAUGCUCAGAGAAGAUGAAGGUGUAUAAUUGAGAAGAGCCUUCUGUGUGUGUUCUCUUUACUUUGUCAUUUGCAGUCUAGGAUUAUAAGAGACAGG
rnacentral:lncRNA from 12 species